UCAGCCAGCCACAACUCUAAGAAAACGCGGAGGAGGUGGCCCGGGUCGGCGUCAGCGCCGUCCGGCGCGGGCCACGGGCCCGCUUCCAAGUGCGUCUACGCGCCGGCCACCCACGCCGGGUCCUUCAAGUGCCGCUUCCACCGCACCUACUCCCAGGGCCACGGCCACGGCUAGGGCCAGGGAAGCCGCCCUUCGGCCGCGGCCAACGCGGUGCCGCGGCACCCGGCCUCGCCGUCCUCGUCCUCCGGCACCGUCGCGACCCAGUGA
rnacentral:rRNA from 1 species